UUCCCCUACGGGGCGCAGAAGUAGGGAAUCUUCCACAAUGGACGAAAGUCUGAUGGAGCAACGCCGCGUGAGUGAAGAAGGGUUUCGGCUCGUAAAGCUCUGUUGGUAGUGAAGAAAGAUAGAGGUAGUUACUGGCCUUUAUUUUACUGUAAUUACUUAGAAAGUCACGGCUAACUACGUGCCAGCAGCCGCGGUAAUACGUAGGUGGCAAGCGUUGUCCGGAUUUAUUGG
rnacentral:rRNA from 1 species